UUGCUUCGGUAACUGACCUAGCGGCGGACGGGUGAGUAAUACUUAGGAAUCUGCCUAUUAAUGGGGGACAACAUCUCGAAAGGGAUGCUAAUACCGCAUACGCCCUACGGGGGAAAGCAGGGGAUCACUUGUGACCUUGCGUUAUAGAUGAGCCUAAGUCGGAUUAGCUAGUUGGUGGGGUAAAGGCCUACCAAGGCGACGAUCUGUAGCGGGUCUGAGAGGUGAUCCGCCACACUGGGACUGAGACACGGCCCAGACUCCUACGGGAGGCAGCAGUGGGGAAUAUUGGAAAUGGGGGGAACCUGAUCCAGCCAUGCCGCGUGUGUGAAGAAGGCCUUAUGGUUGUAAAGCACUUUAAGCGAGGAGGAGGCUCUCUUGGUUAUACCCAAGAAGAUGGACGUUACUCGCAGAAUAAGCACCGGCUAACUCUGUGCCAGCAGCC
rnacentral:rRNA from 1 species